GAUGAAGAACGCAGCGAACGUGCGAAACGUAAUGUGAAUUGCAGAAUUCAGUGAAUCAUCGAAUCUUUGAACGCAUCUUGCGCUCCUUGGUAUUCCGAGGAGCAUGCCUGUUUGAGUGUCGUGAAAUACUCUCAAUUUCAAUCUUUUUGUUUGAAAUUGGAUUUGGAUGUUGUUGUGGAUCUUGCUACGACUCAUCCUAAAUGCAUUAGCGAUCUGCCUUGAUCACACACAAUGUGAUAAGAUGAGCAUUGUUAUAAUCAAGUCAUGACUGCUUCUAACCGUCCCUUUGGGACAAACGUCUUAUGUCGUUUGACCUCAAAUCAGGUAGGACUACCCGCUGAACUUAAGCAUAUCAAUAAGCGGAGGA
rnacentral:misc_RNA from 1 species